rnacentral:rRNA from 1 species
UACGUAGGGGGCAAGCGUUGUCCGGAAUCAUUGGGCGUAAAGAGCGUGUAGGCGGCCCGGUAAGUCCGCUGUGAAAGUCGGGGGCUCAACCCUCGAAUGCCGGUGGAUACUGUCGGGCUAGAGUGCGGAAGAGGCGAGUGGAAUUCCUGGUGUAGCGGUGAAAUGCGUAGAUAUCUGGAGGAACACCGGUGGCGAAGGCGGCAUUCUGGACCGACAUUGACGCUGAGGAGCGAAAGCCAGGGGAGCAAACGGG